CCUCUCAAACCUCUUUUUUUCUUUUGCAGAUUGCUUUCUCUAUCCUUUCACAUGGCUAUAUAAAUACACAGGCCAAGAACAGAUCCAGUUUCAGUGGUAGCAGCUGCACAAACCACAUAUUAAGUAGGUGAUUUUCUCUGAGCAUAAAAAAACACAGUGAGACGUUCAAACUUAAUAUGUCCUGUGCUGCAGAGCUGAGCUCUCAUAACCACAUCAACAUCCUUUCAUGCAAUGGAAGAAAUUUAUGUCAAUACUGAACAUCUCAAAUGUGUCUACCCAACAUAUUCAACAAAUCACACAGGUCGAAGGAGCUCUAAGAGGAGUUUGUAUUUGGUUAUUAUUUUGUGUCUGAGCCUGCUGAGUGUCUUCCUGUUGGCUGGACUUGUCACUCUUGGUUUCCUCUAUCAUGAUUCAAGCAAACUUCUGUCUGCUAUGAAUAACCAAUUUUCCUCAAUGAGUGAGGAGAGAGACCUUCAAAAUGCAAAUGUCUCUGCCAUGAGUGACCAAAUUUCUUCCAUAACUGAGGAGAGAGACCUGCUGCAAGCUGACCUCACUGAAAUGACCAAAGAGUUGGAGAGGCUGCAGAGUUUGUUCAACCAGAGUGAGUCCUUGUCUGAGCUGUUGUGUGUCUUUGUAAAAGGGUUUACUGAGCGUUCCUGUUUCUUGUAAAUUCACAUUUACAAGACAAAUAUGACUGGUACAAAAACACAUUCCUUCCUGGAAUACAUUUCUUUUCGGUUUUGAGAAUCACUUGUGUUUAAGCUGGGCUCUUGUUUUCAUAUUAGCGGUUAGUAUUUUCACUGGUUAUGUAUUGUUUUCUCUGUUCGCAGUUUCUUUUAUAUUCUAGUUCAUAUUCAUAGGUGGUAUUCUAGCUGAGUCUGUCAUGGUCCUGCGUCCAUGACUCAGUGAUUUUGUGUUUGUGUUUUUUACUGUUAUUAUUUUCAUUAUUAUUCGUGGGCUGUUUUGGGAUGGUUUGUGUUUUGGGAUUUUAGAUACUGGGUUCUGGGGUUGUGCUCCCUCUAUUGGUCCCUGGUGUUAGUGUUCCCCUGUCUCGUCAGGUUAAUCAGGUCCAGCUGUGUCUCCCACCUGUGUGUGGUUUCCCAGUGUCUCUCUGUGUACUUAUAGUGUGUGUUUGCCUCUGUUCCUCGUCACGUCGUCUGUGUUCAUACUCUGUGAAAUCCCCUGCGUGCUCUCCCUUCAUGUCAGGUUUGCUACUCCUUGGUGUAGUUUCUCCCAGUUUAGUUUAUCCUUAGUUCUGUUUUGCCAUCUCCACUUUAUGUUUGGUAUUGUUAAUAAAUCGCCCUCACGUCUGAGUAAGUACUGCAUUUGAGUCCUCCUUCCACUCUUCACACGGCCGCUGCCCGAGCCGUGACAGAGUCUAUGUGCUUUGGUUAUGCAAUAUUUGUUUUUUCUGUCUUAUAGUCAUAUCUCCAUGUCUGUCCAGUUUCCCUGUUUAGUUGUGUCAGGUUUGUAUGUCUUAGUCCUGGCCUCAAUGUUAGUUACUUCCUUUUUUAUUUACAUAGUCUCUCAUCCCAUGUGCCUUAUGAUCCUUCCCCAUUAUAUUAUGUUAUGAAAUGUGUAUUACAUUUGUCUUUCAGUAUUUUAGCCUUGCAACUACUCAGCCAAAACUGAACUGACCUAGUCCGCACAGGCAUGCUAUAAUACUUCAAAUAUAACUUGGAAUUCAGACGUUUAGGUGAUAAGUUACAGCGCUGAUGUGUGUGUCUUUUUUGUGCCAUGAUUAUCCAUAACCAUGAUUUUAAUUGCACUUUGGAGAAUGAACCCAGAUCAAGCUAACACCAGAAACAAAAAUGUUUGGGGGAAUGAAGCUCCUCAAUUAUGCUCUUUCAACUUCCUAAAUCACACAUUUUUGAUAAUAUAACAACAUCUAGUGUUAGAAUAUUUAUCUAUUUCUUUUGGCUUUGGCAUUAGGUGAUGUAAUGGCUGGCAACAGACCAUCACAGAUCGAGGGAGAUUAUCAGUGGUCUUGUAUGUCUUCCAUUUUCUGAUGAUUGCU